rnacentral:rRNA from 1 species
GAGGCCUACGGGACGCAGCAGUGGGGGAUAUUGCACAAUGGGGGAAACCCUGAUGCAGCGACGCCGCGUGAGUGAAGAAGUAUCUCGGUAUGUAAAGCUCUAUCAGCAGGGAAGAAAAAAAGUCUUUGGCUUUGGACGGUACCUGACUAAGAAGCCCCGGCUAACUACGUGCCAGCAGCCGCGGUAAUACGUAGGGGGCAAGCGUUAUCCGGAUUUACUGGGUGUAAAGGGAGCGUAGACGGCAGCGCAAGUCUGGAGUGAAAUGCCGGGGCUCAACCCCGGAACUGCUUUGGAAACUGUGCAGC